rnacentral:rRNA from 1 species
AUUAGGAAUCUUGCGCAAUGGGCGAAAGCCUGACGCAGCGACGCCGCGUGGAGGAGGAAGGCCUUCGGGUUGUAAACUCCUUUUUCGUAGGAAGAAACAAAUGACGGUACUACGGGAAUAAGCCCCGGCUAACUCCGUGCCAGCAGCCGCGGUAAUACGGAGGGGGCGAGCGUUGUCCGAAGUUACUGGGCGUAAAGCGCGUGUAGGCGGGUUGCCAAGUCCGCUGUGAAAGCCCGAGGCUCAACCUCGGAGGGUCGGUGGAUACUGGCAGUCUUGAAGUGGCUAGGGGGAGAUGGAAUUACCGGUGUAGCGGUGAAAUGCGUAGAGAUCGGUAGGAACACCAGUGGCGAAGGCGGUCUCCUGGGGCUCACUUGACGCUGAGACGCGAAAGCUGGGGGAGCGAACGG